UCCAUUUUCUUUUGUUUUAUGCUGUCAAAUUCCACUUAGCAAAUCAGCCAAAUCUCUCUUUUGUUUCCACUUUCUUUUGUUUUAUGCUGUCAAAUUCCACCUAACAAAUCAGCCAAGUUCUCCUUCACUCACUUAAUCCACCAAAUUAUUUUCAUCGGCCCCAAGCUCAUUUCACCAGAAAUCAAGUAUUGAGCAAACAAGCAGAAAUCAAAAUACCAACUGAAAUCCUCGCCAAGGCUUUGAGCAUCAGAAGGAUUAGCACUGCUAUUCCGAUUCAGAGAUAAAGUUAAACGACAGGCUUUGCCUAUACAGGUUAAUGGCUGGUGAUGACGGGGCAGAGCUGAGGCUAGGGUUCAACUCCGUAUUUUGUCUUCCGCUAUUGCACUAGCUUUUAUUUGUCUUUUGUUUCUCCAACUUAAGACUUUUAUGUUAAAUUCUGAAUUAUGUUUUUAUCGAGCUUAAACUCUCAACUUCUAGCUUUAUGUUAUUUAACGUUGGUUAUCGGAAGCAUGAAACCGAACUUGUGAUCCUAAGGCUUUGAAUGUUGUUGAUUGAUUAGUAUCACUUGAUUUCUAUCUUUCUUCAUUCAAAGGGCAUUGCCCAACAUUUUUAUUCUAUUAUCUGAAUUUCACAA